rnacentral:tRNA from 1 species
GGAGGAGUCGCCUAGUGGCUAUGGCGCACGUCUGGAAAGCGUGUUUACUUGAAAAAGUAUCGCGGGUUCGAGUCCCGCCUCCUCCGCCA